UGACGUAGGUGGCAAAGCGUUGUCCGGAAUUUAUUGGGUUUAAAGGGUGCGUAGGCGGUCCCAUAAGUCAGUGGUGAAAUACUCUAGCUUAACUAGAGGGGUGCCAUUGAUACUGCGGGACUUGAGGUGGAGUUGAAAGUGGGCGGAAUUGACGGUGUAGCGGUAGAAAUGCUUAGAUUAGUCGAUCGAAGAACACCGGAUAGUGAAGACAGCUCACUAAAGCUCAAAACUGACGCUGAAGGCACGGAAAAGUGUGGGGGAGUCAAAACAACGGAAUUAGAAAACCCC
rnacentral:rRNA from 1 species